rnacentral:rRNA from 1 species
GACGAACGCUGGCGGCGGGCUUAACACAUGCAAGUCGAACGGGAAGGCCCUGCUUUUGUGGGGUGGUGGGGUGGCGAACGGGUGAGGAACACGUGAGUAAGCUGCCCUUGACGGUGGGAUAACUUCAUGAAACUGGGGCUAAUACCGGAUAGGAGCUCCUGCUGCAGGGUGGGGGUGGGAAAGUUUAGGCGGUUGGGGAGGGACUCGCGGCUUAUCAGAUUGUUGGUGGGGUAGUGGAUUACCAAGGCUUUGACAGGUAGCCGGCCUGAGAGGGUGACCGGCCACGUUGCAACUGGGCUGCGACACAGACUACUACGGGAGGCAGCAGUGGGGAAUAUUGCACAAUGGGAGGAAGCCUGAUGCAGCAAAGCCGCGUGGGGGAUGACGGCAUUCGGGUUGUAAACCGCUUUCGCCUGUGACGAAGCGUGAGUGACGGUAAUGGGUAAAGAAGCACCGGCUAACUACGUG